GACGAACGCUGGCGGCGUGCCUAAUACAUGCAAGUUGAGCGCUGAAGGUUGGUACUUGUCCCUACUGGAUGAGCAGCGAACGGGUGAGUAACGCGUGGGGAAUCUGCCUUUGAGCGGGGGACAACAUUUGGAAACGAAUGCUAAUACCGCAUAAAAACUUUAAACACAAGUUUUAAGUUUGAAAGAUGCAAUUGCAUCACUCAAAGAUGAUCCCGCGUUGUAUUAGCUAGUUGGUGAGGUAAAGGCUCACCAAGGCGAUGAUACAUAGCCGACCUGAGAGGGUGAUCGGCCACAUUGGGACUGAGACACGGCCCAAACCCCUACGGGAGGCAGCAGUAGGGAAUCUUCGGCAAUGGACGAAAGUCUGACCGAGCAACGCCGCGUGAGUGAAGAAGGUUUUCGGAUCGUAAAACUCUGUUGGUAGAGAAGAACGUUGGUGAGAGUGGAAAGCUCAUCAAGUGACGGUAACUACCCAGAAAGGGACGGCUAACUACGUG
rnacentral:rRNA from 1 species